GAUGAACGCUGGCGGCGUGCCUAAUACAUGCCAGUCGAGCGAACAGACGAGGAGCUUGCUCCUCUGAUGUUAGCGGCGGACGGGUGAGUAACACGUGGAUAACCUACCUAUAAGACUGGGAUAACUUCGGGAAACCGGAGCUAAUACCGGAUAACAUGUUGAACCGCAUGGUUCAACAGUGAAAGACGGUCUUGCUGUCACUUAUAGAUGGAUCCGCGCCGCAUUAGCUAGUUGGUAAGGUAACGGCUUACCAAGGCAACGAUGCGUAGCCGACCUGAGAGGGGGAUCGGCCACACUGGAACUGAGACACGGUCCAGACUCCUACGGGAGGCAGCAGUAGGGAAUCUUCCGCAAUGGGCGAAAGCCUGACGGAGCAACGCCGCGUGAGUGAAGAAGGUCUUCGGAUCGUAAAACUCUGUUAUUAGGGAAGAACAAAUGUGUAAGUAACUAUGCACGUCUUGACGGUACCUAAUCAGAAAGCCACGGCUAACUACGUG
rnacentral:rRNA from 1 species